GUUUGUUCAUAACGCUGUCAACCGCGAUGUCGGUUUUUUAUUAUGUUUUGUUUUGUUCGACACUCUGUGUUCAAUUCUUCAACUCGUUCAACUCGUCGGUCCGUGAGUGAAAUCCAACUGCAUCGAGGCAGUUUUUACUAUUGAAUUACAACAAAACUUCAAGUACACUGCGCAGUCCCGACGGAUACCAACUGGGAGAAAUUGAUUUCGAUACAAAGUUCCCGACCAAAAGCUCCGCAUUAUUCGAAAAAUGGAAUUCUAUCAUCGAAUCGCUCAAACCUAUUCUCAUGCCGAUGUGAGCGAUAAAAGCGGCAAAACUAUUCUAAAUCAACUGGAAGGUGAACUAAGUGAAGAUUGCUGCCAUACAUCUUACCCUGUGCUGUACUGACCCUGACGGACAAAGGAAAGUGGAAACCCAGUUACAUUGAAAAUUGUAACAGUUUUGUCUACUGGGUACAGAGCAUAAUCGAUCUACAGUCAAAAGUUAAAGUUCACCACACUUCACGUUCUGAGACUAGAGGAAUGCCACAAUGUCCACUGGUGAUCGUUGUUGGACCAGACCUAUCCAAGUUGAACACCUUUAUAGUAUCCUUCGGUGACAAAACCUACAGCCUACCAUUGCUGCGGAAUGUGCCGGAUCAUGAAAUCUACGUCAUCUACGUCAUCAUGGAGCAAUCACGUCAUCUACGAGUUUCCGGUAGAAUCCUCUUGUCGCGCAAAAAUGCUUUCGAUCAGUUCCAGAAGUUAAAGAUGUUCAACUGUCUAUAUAGAUUUUUUAAAUAAAUAAUCCAUUUUUGUGGUUAUCGACAGUUUCAUUGUAUAGAAAUAAAACAUGAAAUGCUUCAGAGGUAAUACAAAUCCUCAUUUAAUUUCAACCAUCUUAUUAGUUAAAUCAAACAAGAUCCAUAGUUGAUUCAAACGUAUCCUUAUUUAUUUCAAACAACCGUUUAGUUUGAAUCAAACUAAAAUUUGGUUGAAACAAAUUUAAGGAUUUGUUUGAAUUUACCUAGAAUUUUUCA